ensembl:lncRNA LINC01524 long intergenic non-protein coding RNA 1524
GCGCCAGGCGACUGGGUCUGAGGAGGCAGGAGUUAUUCAUUCCCUUAAGCUUUCAGGCCGGGGGGAGAAUCUUUCAGGUGGUAGCUGCAAGAACUCUUAGUAUGUUGACCUCACCUCUGCCUUCCACAUACCACUACCAGUGAGGAAUUAGGAAUGCAUGAGAAGAGUGUCCAAGAAGAGUGUCCUCAUUCAUGCAAGGCUUAAGAGAGAAUGCAGGUCAACAUCACCAUGUCAAUCAGAGAAUACUUCUGUUGGGUUGAAUGACUCUCUGCCCCCAGGAAAGAGAUCUUCAUGUAAACAGAGUCCCUCUUAUUGGCUGAAGUGAAGAGUCAUUCUGAGGAGGAUCUGAAAAUGUAGAGGUGAGACGCUAAUGGCAGAGUGGCCUCAGCUUUCACCAGGUUUUGAAAACAUCUGUGAGGGAGGCACCAAAUUCACUGUCCUGCAGCUUUGACUUCCCAAUCCUCGUUGCCUCGUGCUGCCAGCCUGUAUGCUGGUAGAAGUGUGUUCCUGGGAACAUCCUGGCAUCUUGUGUUAGGACUACACUGGUGCAUGGGACAGAUCACGCUCAAGAAGGUCGAUGUAAUUUGAAAAACAGAUGGGCUCUGCUUUGUGAAAACUCCAAGCAUAUGAAGUCUAACUUGAAUAAAAGGCAUCUCAAGAUGAAGGUUUCCUAUUUGUGAUUAUGAAAAAAAUGUCAAGAACAAGUCCCUUGGUGUUCUUAGACCAAAGUCAGAACAACAGACCUAUUUAUGCCUGAAAUGUGUGUAUAAACAACAUUUGAAAGAAGAAAUGGAAAUCUCCCAUCACUACAUCUCAGUAUGAAGAGAUGGAGGGAAGUUAAGUCCUAAAUGACCAGAUUUGGAUGUUACAUGACAGGUGGCUUCUGCACAGUAAACUGAGGCAGAACUGUAAGUGAUGAGUAGGUAUUCAAGAAUGAAAGAGAUCAUGACCAAGGACAGCCACAUCCGACCAUUCGUUGUGUUUUGUUGAUAUGCCCUGACAAUAGAUGACAUAACCAAAGAAAGAAACUGCUGGGGGAUACAGGCCUAUACCUCUGGAUAUAUUUUUCUAUUGUGAUUUUAGCUUCAGAGCAACUUCCCUCUGACAUAACGAAGACUCUUGAGUAUUGAAGAUGAAUAUUUAUUGGGGAAAAAUGCAAUGGGAAAUAAAGAAAUCAGAAGAUUGGAGAUGCUUGACAAACUACUGGAAAUUUUAUUCCCAAGUAAUUUAUUUCUUAUUUGUAUCAAUUUGAUAAAUAUUAUGUAAGUUACGAUUAUGUUGAAUUGCAAAUAACAAGAGCAGGUGUUUAUUUUUUUUUACAUAAUAACAAGUCCAGAGGUGUGUUUAGAUGACUGUGCAAUGGCUAGGCCACUGGUUCUGAUGUUCUUGGCUUCUUCCUUAUGGUCACAAGAUGGCUGCUUCAGUACCAGUUCUUAUAUCUGCAUUUAAGAGAUUAAAAAAGAAAAAGAAGAAGAAAAA